ACACUGGUGAUUUGAGGUUAGCCAGAUCCUUGUCACUUAUUCUGCUCUGUUUUAGAAGCCAUUAAUUAUAAUAACAUAUUAAUUUAUUUACAAUUGUGAGAAUAAAGUGCUGGUACCAUGCACAAAAACAAUGGUAACCAUGGUUUGCUUGCCGUUUGUGAAGGUAUGCCUCAGAUAUGCAGGCUCAGAGCAGUUUAACUGCACCUUGACUACUGUUGCUAUGGCUGCCACAGCCUUCACCAUCAGUAAGGCUGAAUACUCCUGUCUGUGGUGAAACAAAAAGUGUUUCUUUAGCAUACAGACUUUAUUAAAUGACUCCUUUGAAAGCAUGUCUUCCUCAUCCUCAUCUUCCAGUGAAAGCAACAGCAAAGCAACAUCGAAGGAAAAUUUAAAAGAUCUAUCAACAUCUACUCCAGCCAAUGAGGACAAAACAACCUUGCCAACAAAAUGUGAAACUGGAGGUACAGCCACUUUAGGUCAUGUUUCCUCAGAUGUGAGUCCCAGUGAAAACCAUAGAGAGGAGCGACACCGUUCAAAACUUAGCAGUGUGACAUCAGUGAGACACAGAUCCAAGACUCACACUCAGUUGAUGAAAGAGACAUUGGGCCAGAUCAAAGCUGAGAUGCAGAAGAUCUCUAAAGUCCACCUGCUUCAGCGCCCUGAGAGGAAAGCAUACCAUCCUUUUGUGUGGAAUUCUCUGAGUCCAUACAGAGACACUACUGAGAUUGACCAUCUCCUCACAACGACAACUGAACCAGACAGAAGAAAUCGCUAUUCUUCAGUGAAGACAGAAAGCACUCAGCUGUCUAAAUGAUACUUUCUUUUAAAUUGCUGCAUAUGCCUCAACCUACACACAACCUUCUUUGUAUUCAUGACAACAAACUCACAUACAUACUCUAUUUAUAUAAUACUGCGCAAAAGUCUUAGGCCGUUUAUAUUUUCACCAACAAAAAUAUUUUUAAGUCGGUUAUCUCUAUCUUUUGCUGUAGUGUCAGUAGGAAAUAUCAGUUUACAUUUCAAACAUGUCUUUUGCCAUUAAUUGUACAGUGACAUGACAUACAGCCAAGUAUGGUGACCCAUACUCAGAUUUCGUGCUCUGCAUUUAACCCACCCAAAGCGCACACACACAGCAGUGAACACACACACACACACACACACACACCAUGAACACACACCGGUAGCAGUGGGCAGCCAUUUAUGCUGCGGCGCCCGGGGAGCAGUUGGGGGAUCGGUGUCUUGCUCAAGGGCACCUCAGUCGUGGUAUUGCCGGCCGAGACUCAAACCCACAACCUUAGGGUUAGGAGUCAAACUCUCUAACCACUAGGCCACAACUUCCUACAAGUUUGUAAUAAUGCAGUUCGAUUUUUGUAUGCACAAGGAGUCUGACAGCAGCCAGUGCUCCACACAGAGAUCUGAUCUCAUUGUCACCCAGUCUGUCUGAGAUUACAUGAAGAAACAGGAAAGAAGAAGAAAAAAAAAAAAAACUGAGACAAACUGAAACAGAAAAACUGUGGCAACAUCUCCAAGACACUUCAAGAAUUUACCUGAAAAUCUUCGCAACUAUAUGCAAAUCUACCUGAAAAAACUAUGUGCGAGUGUACCUAGGACAAAACUGUUUUAAAUGCAAAGGUUGGACAAACCAAAUAUUAAUGAUUUAGUUUAUAGAAGUUAAUUGAAGUUAAAUAAAAUCUAUUUAUGACAUCA
ensembl:lncRNA